UACAGAGGGUGCAAGCGUUAAUCGGAAUUACUGGGCGUAAAGCGUGCGUAGACGGUUAUGUAAGUCAGAUGUGAAAGCCCAGGGCUCAACCUUGGAAUUGCAUUUGAGACUGCAUAGCUAGGGUGCGGAAGAGGGAAGCGGAAUUUCCGGUGUAGCGGUGAAAUGCGUAGAUAUCGGAAGGAACACCAGUGGCGAAAGCAGCUUCCUGGUCCAGCACCGACGUUCAGGCACGAAAGCGUGGGGAGCAAACAGG
rnacentral:rRNA from 1 species